ACAGCCAUAUCACAUUGAGACACUGGUUCUCAUGUGAUCACUGAAUUUAAGCAACAUCUAGCCUGGUCAGUAUGUAGAUGUGUGACUACUUGGGAAUACCAAGUGCUGUAAG